UACAGAGGUGCCAAGCGUUAGGCGGAAUCACUGGGCUUAAAGCGCGUGUAGGUGGCUGGGUAAGUACCUUGUGAAAUCCCACGGCUCAACCGUGGAACUGCUGGGUAUACUGCCUGUCUUGAGGCACUCAGGGGCAGCUGGAACAAAUGGUGGAGCGGUGAAAUGCGUAGAUAUCAGGAGGAACACCAAUGGCGAAGGCAGCUCGCUGGAACGGAACUGACGCUGAGGCGCGAAAGCGUGGGGAGCGAACAGG
rnacentral:rRNA from 1 species